GAUGAACGCUAGCGGGAGGCCUAACACAUGCAAGCCGAGCGGUAGAGUUUCUUCGGAAACUUGAGAGCGGCGCACGGGUGCGUAACACGUGUGCAACCUACCUUUAUCUGGGGGAUAGCCUUUCGAAAGGAAGAUUAAUACCCCAUAAUAUAAUGAUUGGCAUCAAUUAUUAUCGAAAACUCCGGUGGAUAGAGAUGGGCACGCGCAAGAUUAGAUAGUUGGUGAGGUAACGGCUCACCAAGUCAAUGAUCUUUAGGGGUCCUGAGAGGGAGAUCCCCCACACUGGUACUGAGACACGGACCAGACUCCUACGGGAGGCAGCAGUGAGGAAUAUUGGACAAUGGGUGAGAGCCUGAUCCAGCCAUCCCGCGUGAAGGAUGACGGUCCUAUGGAUUGUAAACUUCUUUUGUACAGGGAUAAACCUACCCUCGUGAGGGUAGCUGAAGGUACUGUACGAAUAAGCACCGGCUAACUCCGUG
rnacentral:rRNA from 1 species